rnacentral:rRNA from 1 species
GAGUUUGAUCGUGGCUCAGGAUGAACGCUAGCGGCAGGCUUAACACAUGCAAGUCGAGGGGCAGCGGGGAGGAAGCUUGCUUUCUCCGCCGGCGACCGGCGCACGGGUGAGUAACACGUAUGCAACCUGCCCUGUCAGGGGACAACCCGCCGAAAGGCGGGCUAAACCCGCGUACAUGCCACCGGGGCAUCCCGGAGGCAGGAAAGGCUUCGGCCGGACAGGGAUGGGCAUGCGGCGCAUUAGGCAGUAGGCGGGGUAACGCCCACCUAACCGACGAUGCGUAGGGGUUCUGAGAGGAAGGUCCCCCCACACUGGUACUGAGACACGGACCAGACUCCUACGGGAGGCAGCAGUGAGGAAUAUUGGCCAAUGGUCGGGAGACUGAACCAGCCAAGCCGCGUGAGGGAGGAAGGUACAGAGUAUCGUAAACCUCUUUUGUCAGGGAACAAAGACUGGGACGCGUCCCGGAUGAGUGUACCUGAAGAAAAAGCAUCGGCUAACUCCGUGCCAGCAGCCGCGGUAAU